CACCAUACAUAUAUUAUCCAAGCUUAUGGCUUGGAGUUCCUCAUUAUGAAGCUCUUGUGGGGUAUCCGGUACCCUCUCAUUUGCAUUAAACCAAGCCUGUCAUUCACUUUCAGCAUAUCUAACUAGCUCCGUAGGAUCUCUGUCUAUUUCCCUAAACAGUUUAUCAUUUCGGGUCUUCCAGAUAUACAAAAUUAUCCAAGGAUAAGGGUCCCCGUCAAGCUCUGGCACAUCAGUGUUGUUCUUCCUCCAGAAAAGAUAAUCCAUGUUGGCUUAAAUACUGGUUAAAGGAAAGAUGUUAGGAGCAGAUGGUGUUGAUGCUAGGGACCACACGUUCCUUUGCCUAAGAGUAUCUCCAAAAAUGACACCAAAUUUAGUGUUGAAAUUACAUCAAAUUUGAUGAUUCGGUAUCAUAAUAUUUUUGUCAUCUCCAACAAUGAUACCAAAUUUAACACCAAAAGUAAUACUGUAUCAUUUGAUGUUUUUAUAUUUUAAAAUUUUAUAUUUUUAUUAUUUGUAAUUGACGAAUAAUUUAAUUAUCACAAUUAGAUUAUUAUUUAUAUCUUUAUUAUUUGUAAGUGAUACAUGAUAAUAGUCAUUUAGUGAUUUAUUUUGAAUAUAAAAAUAAAAUUUAUUUAAUUAUUUGAAAAUAAUUUGAAAAUAUAAAUAUUUCUCCCUCUGUUCCUUAUAGAUCCAUUUUUUAGAAAAACAAUUUGUUUCAAAAAGAUACAUUUUUUACAUUUUCAAGAUAUUAAUUAAUGAAAAAUUAUAUUUUUCAAAAAAUACAAUUGUGUUUAAUAAAAUUUCAUUGGUUAAAAGUUAUUGGGAAUAGUUAAUUAAGAGAAACAAUGUAUUGGAAAAUACAAUUUUAAAUUCUUUAUUAAUAAGUGUGAAAAAACUAUAACAUGGAUCUUUUAGGAACGGAGGGAGUACAAUAUAGUUAUGUUUAAUUAAAAAUUUGAUAAUGAUUGAACUAUAUUAUUAAAUCAAACAUAAUAAAAUAUGCAUUUUAAAGAUUUUGUCUAAUGCAUAGUGUUACAUCAAAUUUGGUGAAAUAUUAUCAAUUUUAAUGUUUUGUUGGAGAUGAAAUUACACCAAAUUUGGUGUUACGGUGUCUUGGUGUAGAUGGCCUUACGUCACUAUUAUUUCCAUCUGUAUCAUCUCCAUCAUCUUUUAUGUUCGUGUCUCUGUUGGUUAAAGUCAUCAUGAUUUUUCUGAUCAAAAGUCUUCAUGAAUUUAAGGUCAAAGAAAUUCUAAUCCAGAAGGUUUUAUCUCAGAUCCUUUAAUUUAACAUGUAUCUAUAUACUUAUAAAAUUAACACUUUUUUAAUUAAAAAAAUUAACAUGAUAUUUGUAUUCAAAUAUUGUCAAGCUUAAUUAUAUUAUAACAAAUAAAAGAUUUUAAGCAAAACAAAUAUAGGUUUGUGUAAGGAUAGUGGAGAUCUGAGAAAUACUUUUAUGUCCAGAUUUUAAAAUUUUUUUUGUUGCGAACACUUCAUAACUGAAGUGAUUCACAAGUUUAUGGGAAAAAAAAUUACCAAUAUUUUUUGUUAACUUGUUUGCAUUUAUAUAUGGUUUGUGCAGUAUUUGCUUCAAACCUCUGGUUUGUUGCAAUGGUUGAGUUACCGGUGUUCGGGUUGUUCUGGCGUUCUUUCGCAAGUAGUUAUGAAAUGAGAUAUAUUAGGAUCUAACUGAUACCUCUCAAAAGAAUACGAGGAAUGAGAACAAAAUGAAUGAAAAGAAAAAAAAUGAGGAAAAUAUAUUCUUUUAUCAAAAAUGUUAAGGAUUUAUAGGUAAUAGACAUUCGUUGUAAAUGGUAUAAAUUGUAAUGAAUGAUAAGGAAUUAACUAUUUUCACUCAUUCCCUUGGUCACCAUUUAGUUUUUUUGGUAUUGGGUGGAACCAUUUACUGGAAAUGGAUCAUAUUUCAUUUUGGGACUGGUUUUGAUUAUAUUGUCUCUUUUGUUUGGUCUGUGUUUUUUUCAUGGUGAUUUUUAAUAUGAAUAGUCAAUUUUGACUAUACCUAAGAUUUGUACUUUGUAGUUAAACCACGUUCAAAGGUAACUUAAGUAAAGUUAACUCGCAAUAAAAUUGAUGAAUGCAAUUAAAGAAGAAUACUUAUUUAAACUAUCAAAACAAUUCUCAUGUUGAAGUAGAGAUGACAAUUUGAAACCUGGACCGCUGGCCUGGUCCGUGAAGGAUUGCUGCGGGGCGGAUUUGGGCAUGGGUUUCUAUGCCCGAAAAGAAAGCGGGUCUCGCAAGUAAGUGUCAUGCAGUAUUGGGCUUUCAGCAGGAUGGGCGUCACUUGGACCCACGGGAUUGUAAAGACCCGCAGGAUAGUAAGAACCGCAGGAUAGUAAGAACCGCUUCACCGAAAGAAUCUUUUAUAUUUUCACCUGAAAAAAGAAAUGAGAGAGAGAGAACGACGAUGGUGACUUGGCUUCUAUCUUCACCAGCAACCUAUGGAGCUCCGGUGAUGGCGGUUCGAUGGCCAUCGAAGCUUCCGGUCUCUCAUGCGUCUUUGAUCUGAUUCUUCUUCCGGUAAUCCCUUCGUAUUCCAUCUGCAGAAGAGGACCUUCACCGACAACUCAUAUGAACUUUGUCGACUAUUUCUUCUCCAACAACCUCCGAUGAAGAUUGCACUUUAGACGCCGAUCUCCAAAUCAGGAAAAGCACUACUUUGAUCACUAUUACAGGAAAUCAUUGCUCAAGCUGAUAGAGAAGAUCAUAGAACUCAAAAACCUUGAAGACGUAUAUGGUUCCAAACUCAACUUACGAAUAUAUUUUUACUGCAAUUCUUCAGAGACCCGCUGGAACUGAAGACGCUGCGGAACGGAAGACGAGCAAACCUGUUUGCCAUCUCUAGGUCGAAGGUAUUAGAAAUGGGUCGGCUAUUGUUGAAACUGAACAUCUAAUGUCAUCAGUUAUAUUUGCCUUUGAUGUUUUCUGGUAUAGAAAAACCACUAAUUUUUAUCAUUGUUUUGUUAUAUUCUUGAUGUAAUAUGUUUUAAAUCAGUGUUAGAAAAACAAAAACAAGCAAUCACAGUCUUGUAAUUAAGACCUAAGUUAAUAGUAUUAAGCAAUACUCCAAUUUCUAAUCAA